UACGUAGGGUGCAAGCGUUAAUCGGAAUUACUGGGCGUAAAGCGUGCGCAGGCGGUUUUGUAAGUUUGUCGUGAAAUCCCCGGGCUCAACCUGGGAAUGGCGAUGAAGACUGCAAGGCUAGAAUCUGGCAGAGGGGGGUAGAAUUCCACGUGUAGCAGUGAAAUGCGGUAGAGAUGUGGAGGAACACCGAUGGCGAAGGGCAGCCCCCUGGGUCAAG
rnacentral:rRNA from 1 species